rnacentral:rRNA from 1 species
UCGGGAAUUUUGGGCAAUAGGCGCAAGCCUGAUGACGCAACGCCGCGUGGGGGAUGAAGGUCUUCGGAUCGUAAACCCCUGUCGAAUGGGACGAAAGACUCGCGAGUGAAUACUUCGCGAGAGUGACGGUACCGUUAAAGGAAGCCACGGCUAACUCUGUGCCAGCAGCCGCGGUAAUACAGAGGUGGCAAGCGUUGUUCGGAAUUACUGGGCGUAAAGGGCGCGUAGGCGGCCCUCUAAGUCAGACGUGAAAUCCCCCGGCUUAACCUGGGAACUGCGUCUGAUACUGGAGGGCUUGAGUAUGGGAGAGGGAUGUAGAAUUCCAGGUGUAGCGGUGAAAUGCGUAGAUAUCUGGAGGAAUACCGGUGGCGAAGGCGGCAUCCUGGACCAUUACUGACGCUGAGGCGCGAAAGCUAGGGGAGCAAACGGGAUUAGAUACCCCUGUAGUCCCUGAGCGGGCUGGCAAGGCGCAU